rnacentral:lncRNA from 1 species
UGGGGGAAAAUUAGAAAUUUGAAAAUGUGGGAGAGACAACAUAUACAAAUUUUGCUUCCACACUGUUGAGCAAGAGAUUGUGAUGCAAGCCACACCUUGUAGUAGUCGAAAGUUUGGAUGAACCAUAUAAAUUGAAUUUGCUUUGAACAGUAUUGAUCAAGAGUGUGUGAAGCUUUCUACGAGUUGUAGUUGUCCUUCAUUGAUGAAGCUUUUGUUGGCACCAUAAAUUGGUUUUGCUUCACACUGUCUUGAUCAAGAGUAUGUGAAGCUUUUGAGAAUUAUGGUUGCCCUCCAUUGAUGAAGCUUUUGUUGGCACCAUAAAUUGGUUUUGCUUCGUAGUGUCUUGAUCAAGAGUGUGUGAAGGUUUUGAGAAUUGUGGUUGCCCUUCAUUGAUGAAGCUCUUGUUGGCACCAUAAAUUGGUUUUGCUUCACACUAUCUUGAUCAAGAAUGUGUGAAGCUUUCUACGAGUUGUAGUGUUUGCAUUGUUACAAAGGAGAAAUGUUUGAAGCAAAUGCAAGAGGGCUGAAUAGCUUGAUCUUCGUAUGCCAUGCACUGAAGUUGUUAUUGGCUUGCAAUAAGACUUUGUUGGUGACUAUAACUCUUGUUGGGCAUAAGUACUCCCCUAGUUAAGUUGUAAAACUUGAGGGUUUUUUAUUAUUUGUGAAUGUUAGGAGUUUACAUGUACAAGUUAUACCACUCAUUUUCUGGUUGGCAGAAUGAAUGGUGAGUUGCUUUCAUCACUUGGUUGGUGGUACUAAUGUGAGUUCAUUUAUCACCCUUCGUCAUAUUUCAUCACCUGGUUGGUGGCAUGAAUGAGAGUACGGGUUGUACAUUUCAUCACCUGGUUGGUGGCACAAAGAUGUG